rnacentral:rRNA from 1 species
GACAGAGGGUGCAAACGUUGUUCGGAAUUACUGGGCGUAAAGCGCGUGUAGGCGGCCAGUGCAAGUCGGGUGUGAAAGCCCUGGGCUCAACCUAGGAAGUGCACUCGAAACUGCGCGGCUUGAAGUCUGGAGAGGAAGGCGGAAUUCUCGGUGUAGAGGUGAAAUUCGUAGAUAUCGAGAGGAACACCGGUGGCGAAGGCGGCCUUCUGGACAGCACUUGACGCUGAGACGCGAAAGCGUGGGGAGCAAACAGG